rnacentral:lncRNA from 1 species
GUGAACCCGGGAGGCGGAGCUUACAGUCAGCGGAGAUCGCGCCACCGCACUCUGGCCUGGGCGAAAGAGCGAGACUGUCUCAGAAAAAAACAAAAAACAAAGCCAAAAAAAAAAAAACUGUAACACUCACUGCAAAAGUCUGCGGCUUCACUCCUGAAGUCAGCAAGACCACGAACCCACAGGGAAGAACAAACGACUCCAGAGGCGCCACCUUUAAGAGCUGUAACAUUAACUGCGAAGGUCUGUGGCUUCCUUCCUGAAGUCAGCGAGACUGCGAACCCACCGGAAGGAAGAAACUCCGGACACAUCUGAACAUCUGAAGGAACAAACUCGAGACACACAAUCUUUAAGAACUUAACACUCACUGCGAGGGUCCGUGGCUUCAUUCUUGAAGUCAGUGAGACCAAGAACUCACUGGAAGGAACCAAUUCUGGACACACUAAGAUAGGGACUUCCAAUGUGUUCAGAGAGCAGGCCUCUAAGGAGGUAUAUUUGAGGGCCGGGCUCAUCUGAAGAGGCAAAAUCAAAGCAGACUUUAUAAUGAGGCAACCAAAAGAGGAGAAUACUAAAAUAAUAAAUUGUCAGAUUAUGACAAUAUAGUGAACUGUUGUACUGUUAGUCUAUUAGCCAGGUCAGAUAACGUAUCUCCAGAUUAUUUGUCUUUGCCAGUGUUCGAGAAAUCCAAGUUACGUAAUUAUCCUUUUAAUCUAGGGGGCUCAAAGUCCACAGGGAAACGUAACAAAAAGGUAAUCAUGUUUAUGGUUCAAUAUGAGCACUUGAAGUAAUUAAGACCCUAGGGCAGCACACAGAAUCUGCUUAGCCAGUAGUUGAUAGACAAAAUAAAUGAUGACAAAGAAUGGUUUAUGUCUGUAUCUCUUAUUGUUUAUUGUUAGGCGUCUGUCUUCUGAACAGCAACGUGAGAUCUGUCAGGGUUCACUAGUCCACCUGCAGAAGUCAGUCUUCGGGGCGUGCCAGCAUUCCAAAUUUAGACGACCAGGACCGUGAUGUUUUUAAGACGGAGUUCUCGCUCUGUCGC